rnacentral:rRNA from 1 species
UACGUAGGGUGCAAGCGUUAAUCGGAAUUACUGGGCGUAAAGCGUGCGCAGGCGGCUUUGCAAGACAGAUGUGAAAGCCCUGGGCUUAACCCGGGAACUGCAUUUGAUACUGCAUCGCUCGAGUGCGGAAGAGGAGAGCGGAAUUCCUAGUGUAGGAGUGAAAUCCGUAGAUAUUAGGAGGAAUACCGAUGGCGAAGGCAGCUCUCUGGUCCGUAACUGACACUGAGACACGAAAGCGUGGGUAGCAAACAGG